GGGCCCGUAGCAGAGUGGAUAACGCGUCGGCCUCCGAAGCCGGAAAUCGUGGGUUCAAAUCCCACCGGGCCCGCCA
rnacentral:tRNA from 1 species